rnacentral:rRNA from 1 species
GUAAUGCCGGAUGCUCCGACUCCUCGCAUGGGGUGUCGGGAAAGAUUUCAUCGGUAUGGGAUGGGGUCGCGUCCUAUCAGGUAGUCGGCGGGGUAACGGCCCACCGAGCCUACGACGGGUAGCCGGCCUGAGAGGGCGACCGGCCACAUUGGGACUGAGAUACGGCCCAGACUCCUACGGGAGGCAGCAGUGGGGAAUAUUGCACAAUGGGCGCAAGCCUGAUGCAGCGACGCCGCGUGCGGGAUGACGGCCUUCGGGUUGUAAACCGCUUUUGAUCGGGAGCAAGCCUUCGGGUGAGUGUACCUUUCGAAUAAGCACCGGCUAACUACGUGCCAGCAGCCGCGGUAAUACGUAGGGUGCAAGCGUUAUCCGGAAUUAUUGGGCGUAAAGGGCUCGUAGGCGGUUCGUCGCGUCCGGUGUGAAAGUCCAUCGCUUAACGGUGGAUCUGCGCCGGGUACGGGCGGGCUGGAGUGCGGUAGGGGAGACUGGAAUUCCCGGUGUAACGGUGGAAUGUGUAGAUAUCGGAAAGAG